CUUUGCUUCCUCUUCUCGCCUGUGACUCUCCAUUAUUCAGAAGCGUGCUUCUUGUUUGCAGUUGUUUGGGGAUUCUUCUGUUCUCUGUAAUUGGCUUAGGCACCAAUGGCUAGAGAGCACACACUAGUGAACCAGACCUCACCAACGCUUGGCGUGCCCACCACUGAGCUCUCGGGCAGCUCUUCCUUCUUUUACUAUGUGUUCUACUUGCAAUGCUGCCGGUCCCUGCACGUGCUCCUGGGUGAACUGAGCUCCUGCGCACGCACACUGUGUCAUCUCUGCCUGUGCUCUGGAGUCCACUGCAGCCAGGAUUAGAAAGCCACGCCUGUUUCCCUCUCUGCUCCUCUUCACUUUCAGGUGCUCCAGGGGCAGGCGGAUGGAGUCGUGUUCCACCGUGCAAGUGAUAAAAUGGGGCCUGGCCCCCUCCUCCAGGCUGUGCUGGUCAAACACGUGCCCCUUCAGGGUCUGCUGUUCAUGGAAGCAUCUCACCAUAGAGUGGAUUACUAAAUUAUUUGACUGCGGAGACACAACAUAUACAUAUGUAUAUGUAUAUAUACAUAUACAUAUACACACACACACACAUAUAUAUGUAUAUGUCUAUAUGGAGAGAGAGAGAGAGAGCCUUCACCAAAGCUGCCAGCAGAGAGAGAGGAGGCCCUCACUCAUCACUCUCCUUUCUGUGUAACACAGCAAAAGGAAAAGGCCAGAGACAACCAGCCUCCUGACAGGCCUGCACCUUCAGAAAGCCCCCAAACAUUAAAUACUCUAGAGCUCACUUCAAGUGUGCCUGUUUUCUUAGAAAGCCCGAACUUUCAUACUACAUAAAUCUGACAGGAAGGAGAAUUCCACCCCAGGUUGGAGGAACACGAGCUGGAGGACACACAGGCACAAAUAUAAGAUGAAAGAAAAAAAAAUCAAAGAUCAAAUUAAAAUUAAAAUACACCCCUGCU